GAUCCUGGCUCAGGAUGAACGCUAGCGACGGGCUUAACACAUGCAAGUCGAGGGGCAGCACAGGUAGCAAUACCGGGUGGCGACCGGCGCACGGGUGAGUAACGCGUAUGCAACUUGCCUAUCAGAGGGGGAUAACCCGGCGAAAGUCGGACUAAUACCGCAUGAAGCAGGGGCCCCGCAUGGGGAUAUUUGCUAAAGAUUUAUCGCUGAUAGAUAGGCAUGCGUUCCAUUAGG
rnacentral:rRNA from 1 species